UACGUAGGGGGCAAGCGUUGUCCGGAUUUACUGGGCGUAAAGAGCGUGUAGGCGGCCACGCAGGUCCGUUGUGAAAACUGGAGGCUCAACCUCCAGCUGUCGACGGAAACCGUAUGGCUAGAGUCCGGAAGAGGAGAGUGGAAUUCCUGGUGUAGCGGUGAAAUGCGCAGAUAUCAGGAAGAACACCAAUGGCGAAGGCAGCUCUCUGAGACGGUACUGACGCUGAGGAGCGAAAGCGUGGGGAGCGAACAGG
rnacentral:rRNA from 1 species